rnacentral:misc_RNA from 1 species
UUAACUUAUUAUAUAGUACUCAGACGACACUUAAACAUAGAAUUAGGGUCCUUUGGCAAGCACGACCCAGCUAAUUAAAGCCAGAGGCCUACCAAAGCAACAAUGGUAUAUAAAUCAGGGUGGGAGGUCUACCCGUGAGGGCAUGAUCUCUGUAAUGAUCCUUCCGCUGGUUCACCAACGGAAA